rnacentral:rRNA from 1 species
CCUACGGGGGGCAGCAGUGGGGAAUAUUGCGCAAUGGGGGAAACCCUGACGCAGCAACGCCGCGUGAUUGAAGAAGGCCUUCGGGUUGUAAAGAUCUUUAAUCAGGGACGAAACAAAUGACGGUACCUGAAGAAUAAGCUCCGGCUAACUACGUGCCAGCAGCCGCGGUAAUACGUAGGGAGCAAGCGUUAUCCGGAUUUACUGGGUGUAAAGGGCGCGCAGGCGGGCCGGUAAGUUGGAAGUGAAAUCUAUGGGCUUAACCCAUAAACUGCUUUCAAAACUGCUGGUCUUGAGUGAUGGAGAGGCAGGCGGAAUUCCGUGUGUAGCGGUGAAAUGCGUAGAUAUACGGAGGAACACCAGUGGCGAAGGCGGCCUGCUGGACAUUAACUGACGCUGAGGCGCGAAAGCGUGGGGAGCAAACAGG